rnacentral:rRNA from 1 species
GACGAACGCUGGCGGCGUGCUUAACACAUGCAAGUCGAACGGAAAGGCCCCUUUGGGGGUACUCGAGUGGCGAACGGGUGCGUAACACGUGAGUAACCUGCCCUUGACUUCGGGAUAACUUCAGGAAACUGGGGCUAAUACCGGAUAGGAAUCCUUGCUGCAUGGUGGGGGUUGGAAAGCUUCGGCGGUUUUGUAUGGACUCGCGGCUUAUCAGCUUGUUGGUGGGGUAGUGGCUUACCAAGGCUUUGACGGGUAGCCGGCCUGGGAGGGCGACCGGCCAUACUGGGACUGAGAGAAGGCCCAGACUCCGACGGUAGGCAGCAGGGGGGAAGACUGCACAAGGAGCGGAGGGCUGAUGCAGCAACGCCGCGGGCGGGAUGACGGCCUUCUGGUUGAAAACCGAAUUCAGCAGGAGCGAUGCUCGUGGUGACGGUACCUGAAGAAGAAGCACCGGCUAACUACGUG